UUACUUACCUCCUUUGUUCUCCUACAUAUGGUAGAAAAUUACAAUAUAUCUCUUAUAAAUGGCUUGCCGUGAGAUUAUAAUGAUUUUUAUUGUAUCCAACCAAAUAAAAUAAUAUGUAGCUAUAGCUAUUAUAUUUUUAACUAUUUGCAAUUUUAACCGACCGUUCCUAGAACAAGUGGCAAAGGGUUUGGUGAUUGAUACCCGAGAUCCCAAAUUCGAAUUUUAAUUGAUUCACAUUUCUAGCUAAGUUUAUUUAUUUCUAAAUAAGAGCGGAGAGAAUUAACUCCAACCCUUAUAAUAAUCUAUU
rnacentral:lncRNA from 1 species